CCAGACUCCUACGGGAGGCAGCAGUGAGGAAUAUUGGUCAAUGGGCGAGAGCCUGAACCAGCCAAGUCGCGUGAGGGAAGACGGUCCUAUGGAUUGUAAACCUCUUUUGUCGGGGAGCAAAAAGGCCUCGUGAGGCCACAAGUGAGAGUACCCGAAGAAAAAGCAUCGGCUAACUACGUGCCAGCAGCCGCGGUAAUACGUAGGGGGCGAGCGUUAUCCGGAUUCACUGGGUGUAAAGGGAGCGUAGACGGCCAUGCAAGCCAGGGGUGAAAGCCCGGGGCCCAACCCCGGGACUGCCCUCGGAACUGCAUGGCUGGAGUGCGGGAGGGGCAGGCGGAAUUCCUGGUGUAGCGGCGAAAUGCGUAGAUAUCAGGAGGAACACCGGCGGCGAAGGCGGCCUGCUGGACCGCGACUGACGUUGAGGCUCGAAAGCGUGGGGAGCGAACAGGAUUAGAUACCCUGGUAAGC
rnacentral:rRNA from 1 species